GAUACUAUAUCUAUAUCUAUAGGCCUAUAGCCGUGAUGUAAACCGACAAUAUUCAAUUGGAUAUAUGUCGAUGUAUUAGUGUGUUACUGUAACAGUGUAACCGUAAUGUCCGCAAUGACUAAUGAAUAAUCUGAAAUUGACGAUUGUCUUAAAAAAAACGUUUGUAAUUAAACAAUAGCGUCAGUAUGCAGUAGGUAUGCGCCGCAGUCCUUCAAUCAGUGAGGUACAACUGUUUAGUGUUUUCUCCGUGGGUAAGGUACGGAGUACGCGGUUGCCGGUGGCGCUAACCAGCAUGAUUUUCAUAACCCCUUCACAAGGAUUAAUAUAAUCAUAAUGAUGCAUCACAUCAACUACAGAGUGCUUUUUACCUUACAAAAUUCAAGAACAUUGAUCGGCGUCCUUAAAAGUUAAAGCCUUCGAUAAGUAUAUGAAUGUCAUUUUGGCCGAUUGAGAAGAAUAUCGAAAACUUGGCAGCCGUGGGUACGUUGAACAAAAGCGUAUACUUGGUAAUUUGGUUUCAUUAUUUUACGGGGGCAAAAUGUUGUAUCAUAUUUAUAUAUUAACUGUGUUAUUGUAAUUAUUCAAUAACAGUGCAAUGAAACUCUUAUUAUAACCAUUUCAGUUUUUUUUAAAAAAAUGUUUUCAAAGAAUUUA